rnacentral:rRNA from 1 species
AAUGAAAGUGGCGAACGGGUGAGUAACACGUGAGCAACCUACCUUACACAGGGGGAUAGCCGUUGGAAACGACGAUUAAUACCGCAUGAGACCACAAAGCCACAUGGCUUAGGGGUAAAAGAUUUAUCGGUGUAAGAUGGGCUCGCGUCUGAUUAGCUAGUUGGAAGGGUAAAGGCCUACCAAGGCAACGAUCAGUAGCCGGUCUGAGAGGAUGAACGGCCACAUUGGAACUGAGACACGGUCCAAACUCC